GAUGAACGCUGGCGGCGUGCCUAAUACAUGCAAGUCGAGCGAACAGACGAGGAGCUUGCUCCUCUGACGUUUGCGGCGGACGGGUGAGUAACACGUGUAUAACCUACCUAUAAGACUGGGAUAACUUCGGGAAACCGGAGCUAAUACCGGAUAAUAUAUUGAACCGUAUGGUUCAAUAGUGAAAGACGGUUUUGCUGUCACGUAUCGAUGGAUCCGCGCUGCAUUAGCUAGUUGGUAAGGUAACGGCCUACCAAGGGGACGAUGCGUAGCCGACCGGAGAGGGUGGUAGGCCACCCUGGAGCUGAGACGCGGUCCAGACUCCUGCGGGAGGCAGCAGUAGGGAAUCUUCCGCAAUGGGCGAAAGCCUGACGGAGCAACGCCGCGUGAGUGAUGAAGGUCUUCGGAUCGUAAAACUCUGUUAUUAGGGAAGAACAAAUGUGUAAGUAACUAUGCACGUCUUGACGGUACCUAAUCAGAAAGCCACGGCUAACUACGUG
rnacentral:rRNA from 1 species